ensembl:lncRNA
UCCAUAGUUUGCUCCCAUGAUUAGCUCUACUUUAAUCCUCAUGUACACAGUUCCUUCUGAGACUACAAAAGCCCCAGUCUUGUCCAGCUGCCAUCCCUCCCCUCUAAGCUUGCUUUUGGCUGGAUUGUGCUGCUUCUGAAGAUGUAUUAUAAUUUAGUGUUCUGGUUGAAAAGGCAAAGUCUAAUCAGUGAUCUGAAGUGAUGGUAAACAGAAUCCUCAUCCUACCAACCACCGUGGCUACAAAUAGGAUGAGGGAGAGUUGUGGCAGUCAGAACAUCAGUGAAGGAGGCAAAGGCGAUGCGAAUACUCUCAUAAUGGAGUGAAGAUGCAAACGUUGUUAGAACAGGACUUUCAAGUAGGAACUGGUAAACAAAAGCACUUUUUCCCACCAGGCUCUCUGUCCAUGGGAUUUCCCAGGCAAGAAUACUGGAGUGGGUUGCCAUGCCCUUCUCCAGGUGAUCUUCCUGACCCAGGGAUCAAACCCAUGUCUCCUGGAUUGCAGAACAUCUGGAAAACUCAGCAGUUCAUUUUUCAAAUUACAUUUCACAGGCUGUCUUGAAUUCAAAGAAGCAUCAAGAUCUUUUGAUGGAUCUUGUUUCAGAAUUUGGGUGAAGAACUAUGAUCGCUGUAUCACAGGUGCUCCCUUUCUGUGACACCAAGUCUCACAGGUUUUUAUUUCCGGACACCAGAAGGUCCAUCACUGGUUUACAUGAAAAGGUUUCUUUUCAAAGCUCCUGACCCCAUUACUACUGUGGAAACAAAAUAAAGCAAACUCCUGAAUCUAGUGCUUCAGACAUCAAUCCAGGAUUAAUUCAGGAUCAGGAAAUAAGAUAAUUCAGUUUUAGUGACACUGUAUUGAGUAAGAAUAAACAGUUCACUGGUCAGAGGAGAGAAAGAUUUCAAGUAUCUUGCUAGUUGGAACAAAGUAAUUUUCCCUUGCUGAACAUGUUUGGCCUUUUUCAAAGUUAACAAUGUUCUUGCAGCGUUCCUUCUGGAAAUUGUUAGUGUCUGUGCAAUCUCUAAAGCUCCCAACUACCCACAAAAUUAAAGGAGGUGGUGUUUGUUUGGGCACCUACAUUGUAUCAGGCACUACUAAAUACCUUAUGCAUGUUACUUCAUUUGAUCAUCAAAAUUGCUUUAAAAUAUAUGAUGAGUACUUCACUCUGAUCUUUGAGGACUUCUGGAGUCUGAUCUCAAUUUACUUUUCGAGUCUACUUCUCCCCAACAUGUAACAUAGGGCUAUUUCAUCCUAACUGAAGUAUUUGCCAUUCCCAAAAUAUACACACUCUUGAUUUUUCAUAUCUAUGACUGUUAUUCUGUAUGAGUCAAUGUGUCUCUGUCUGUGAACAAUAACCACUUACUUUGCGCUCCCUCUUCUCUCUCACAACUGAACCCUGCAAUCUAGGUGAAUGCCAUCUGCUUAAAAAAUCUGUUUUGUGUACUGCUCAACUGAAUGCUGUGUUCUAUUCAACUCAAAAUAUAUGUAUUGAGUCGAACUGAAUUCAUAUAUUGUCUGUUUAAAAUACAAGUUUGAAAGAAAUGAACUCCUAAGAAGUGAUGUAAAUAUGUAAACACAGAGAAUGCCUAUUGGGGAAGGCUAUUGCUGAAAUGUAUUUGGAUGCAUUUUGGGUUCUGAUAGAGACAAAGAAGGUACAUUUUAAGAAGAAUGCACAAAGAGUGAUGAACUAAUAACUGAAUUUUCUGGUCUUUCUAAUUUUAUAAUGCUGUCACUCACAGUUAAAACAGAGACAGAUCCUAUUUCAUAAAGACUUGGCUAAUUUUAGGUUUCACUGGUUCAUUAAAAGAGAAUGACAG